rnacentral:lncRNA from 1 species
AUGAUUACAAGAAGUAUACAAACUUGUCCUAGACACCCUAGACAACGUACCUGUUGACGUGAGUCUCCUAAUUAAUCAAGGAGAUUUACUUCCUUGAUUAAUUAAGGGAUUUAUUUUCCUAUUUUUAUAUAAGUGAUAAAUCAUUGUACAAUUAGAAGAUACUUUCCUAAUUCUUUACUGUAUCUAAUUCCUUGUAAAACCCUAAUGUAAACUCCUAUAUAUACCUCCUUAUGGAGAAGAAUAAAACUCAACCCAAAGUAUUUAAACCAUAUUCAUAUUUUAGCAUGGUAUCAGAGCAAUCAAUCCUAGGUUAUCUCUAAACCCUUAUCUCAAAUUUCUCAUAUUCAAAUCCAAAACCCUAAAUCAAAUUCCUCAUAUUUCUCCCCAAAUCCAAAUCCCUCAAAUCCAAAGUCCUCACAUCCUCUUAUCAAAAUCCCUAAACACAUAUCCUCAAAUCCUAUACACAUACCUCUCAAAUCCAAUUCCUACAUCAAACUCAUACAUCCAAUUCCUCAAAUCAAAUUCCUCCAAACACAAUUCCUCACAUUCUCAUAUCAUAUCUUACUUCUGUUGCGAUGUCAGGAACCCCUACGAUUCUCCCCCUUAUUGCAGACUCACAGAAGCAUGCGGUCAAUCCUGCUGACUCGGCUACCCGGACUCAUGCUUCUAUCGCCACCACCAAAGGUUCUACUUUUCAUACGUCCUCUCAAAAAUCUGCAUGAAUUAUCGACUCGGGUGCUACGGAUCACAUGACAUUUGAUCCUGGCCAACUUAUUAGUCGCAAAUUAUCCACUCCGUUGGUGGUGUCUAAUGCUAAUGGUACCCCCUCCCCUGUGGUUGGGGAGGACUCUCUAUCUCUCUCUACUUCCCUACAUCUGGAUUCUGUAUUACUUGUUCCGUCUUUGAACAAUAAUUUGUUAUCUGUUGCCCAACUUACUACUACUUUGGGGUGUACUGUAACAUUUUGGCCAAAUCAUUGUGUUUUUCAUGACAUCCUCACAGGAACGACGAUUGGUUGUGGUACUCGGCGGGGCAAACUCUAUUACUUGGAUUAGGCAUCGGAUAGUGAGGUCAAGGUUGGUCAAGCUUUCACGACCAGUGGAACUCGUUCUGAGGGGGAGAGAGACAAAAUUUGGUUAUGGCAUAAACGUCUAAGGUAUGCCUCGUUUGGUUAUCUUAAAAGUUGUUUCCAUCAUUAUUUUCCAAUCUUGAUGUUUCUCGCUUCCAGUGUGAUACAUGUGAAUUGGCUAAGAGCUAUCAUGUCUCCUUCCCAUUAAGUUCAAAUAAGAGUUUGGUUCCGUUUUCUCUUGUUCAUUCUGAUAUUUGGGGACCUGCUAAAAUUGCCACUCCGACAGGGGCGCGAUGGUUUGUCACGUUUAUAAAUAAUUGCACACACAUGACUAGGAUUUCCCUUCUCAAAACUAAAGGGGAAGUCAGUUUGAGGUUUCAACAAUUUUAUCAAAUAGUGGAGACUCAGUUUCAUGCCAGAAUUCAGGUUAUUCAUUCUGAUAAUGGCUGAGAAUUUCUCAACCAUGAUCUUAACCAGUUCUUACAAGAUCAUGGCAUCAUACAUUAACACUCAUGCCCUUACACUCCUCAACAGAAUGGGGUGGCUGAAAGAAAGAACAGACAUUUAUUGGAAGUCGUUUGUGCCUCUCUCUUUGGUGCCAAUAUGCCACGAUCCUUUUGGGGCGAAGCCGUCGUCUCUGCAGCAUACCUUAUCAAUCGGAUUCUCUCUAGUAUCCUAAAUUUUCAAACACCACUUCAAACACUUCACCAUCAUAUCCAAACACCUCCCACCCCAAACCUAGAACCCCGAAUUUUCGGUUGUGUUGUAUUUGUCCACUUACAUGAUCACCAACAAGGCAAAUUGGAUCCUCGAGCUGAAAAGUGUGUUUUCAUUGGCUAUGCACCUCAUCAGAAAGAAUACCGGUGUUAUCAUCCUCCUAGUUAGAAGAUCUUUACCUCUUUAGAUGUUGUGUUUCAAGAACAUGACUUAUACUUUUCAACAGCCCAGGAAGAGAAUUGAGAAUCGACUUAUACUUUUCAACAGCCCAGGAAGAGAAUCAAGAAUCCACCACUGCUCCAAUUCUCGAUUUUUUUCCCCAGGACGUCACUCUGCAUCAAAAUGACCGGUCGCCAGUGGAAAGCAACCGGUCGCCCCCUCUUAGUUCUUCAACUACAGAGAACUUGCUUCAAAAUGACCAGUCGCCAGUAGACAGCGAUCGGUCACCAGAAGAAAACAAUUCGUUGUCUCCAUGUGGUCAAAAUCAGGAGAAGGAAAUUGAACCGUUUUAUGAGAUUUUGCCCGCUUAAGCUCCAGUACCGCACCAAUCACCUGCUGAUGAAGUCAUUCAGGUAAUAUUUUUUCCUGAAAUUGAUAACACUAAUGAAAUAUCCCAUGAUGAUUUGAUUUCAGAAGGCACAUAGCCUACAUAUUAGCUUCUAGAAAGGAAGAACCAUGGUAAACCUUGAGUACAAUAUGAAGCAGAUCUUAAAGCUAAAGGAAAAUACCCCAUCAAUAAUUAUAUAUCUCUCAGCAGAUUAUCAGAGUCCACGUGUACAAUAUGUGAAGCAGUUGGCUGACAUAUCUGUCCCCAACAAUGUAACUGAAGCAGUAGAAGACCCAAAAUGGAAAGAAGCAAUGAAUGAAGAAAUGCGAGCUCUCCAAAAGAAUGUCACAUGGGAACUCGUGCCCCUAUCUCGUGGAAAGAAGACAGUAGGAUGCAGGUGGAUUUAUACUGUGAAACUCAAAGCAGAUGGAUCCGUUGAAAGAUAUAAAGCUAGAUUGGUGGCGAAGGGGUACACACAAAGAUAUGGGAUAGACUACGAGGAGACCUUUGCCCCAGUAGCGAAGAUUAACACUAUUAGAGUCCUAUUAUCUCUAACAGCAAAUCUCGAUUGGCCACUACAUCAGUUUGAUAUCAAAAAUGCAUUCUUACAUGGAGACUUGGAAGAAGAAGUAUAUAUGGACUUACCCCCAGGAUGUAAUUCAGCUCUUGAUAAGAAAAAUCAAGUUUGCAAACUCAGAAAGUCAUUAUAUGGGUUAAAGCAAUCUCCUAGGGUAUGGUUUGGCAAAUUUACUAAAUCUAUGAAGAAUAUUGGAUAUACAUAGAGUAAUUCAGAUCACACAUUGUUCUUGAAGCGUGAUGAAGGAAAACUUACUGCAUUGAUUGUUUAUGUAGAUGACAUAAUCGUAACUGGAAACGACGCAGAAGAGCAACUGAAGUUGCAAAAUUAUUUGUCUCAGGAAUUUGAGAUGAAGGAUUUAGGUGAUCUGAAGUACUUUCUCGGAAUCAAAGUAGCAAGGUCAAAAACUGGUAUAUUUCUGUCUCAAAGGAAGUAUGUAAUGGAUCUACUCAUUGAAACAGGAAUGCUUGGAUGUAAACCUGUUGACACACCCAUUGAGAUGAAUCACAAGUUGUGUGAAGACAUGGACCAAGAACUAACCAAUAAGGAAUAGUACCAACGCCUUGUUGGAAGGUUGAUAUACCUGGCACACACAAGACCAGAUAUUGCAUAUGCUGUGAGUGUGAUUAGUCAGUUUAUGCAUUCACCUAAUGUCUCUCAUAGGAAUGCAGUUGAUCGGAUCUUAAGAUACUUAAAGUCAGCCCCUAGGAAAGCAUUAUUAUUCUAAAAAAAUGAAGAUCUUGAAGUUGUUGGAUAUACAGAUGCUGAUUGGGCUGGUUCCAUUAUAGAUAGACUCUCUACUUCUGGUUACUUUACAUUCGUGGGAGGUAACCUAGUCACUUGGCGGAGUAAAAAGCAAAAUGUGGUUUCUCGGUCUAGUGCAGAAGCAGAGUAUCGAGGAAUGGUUCACGAAGUUUGUGAAUUAUUGUGGAUAAGAAGACUCUUGACAGAAUUGGACUUCAAGCCAGAAAAGCCAAUGGAGUUGCAUUGUGACAAUCAGUCAGCUAUCGAUAUUGCCCAUAAUCUAGUUCAACAUGAUCGAACCAAACAUGUUGAGGUGGAUAGCCAUUUUAUCAAAGAAAAAAUUGAGAAAAAGAUCAUCCGCCUACCAUUCGUAAAAUCAGAAGAUCAACUGGCAGAUAUCUUAACCAAAGCUGUUUGUGGAAGAGUAUUUCAUGACUCACUUACCAAGUUGGGCAUUGGUGACAUAUAUGCACCAACUUGAGGAGGAGUGUUGAUGUGAGUCUCCUAAUUAAUCAAGGAGAUUUACUUCCUUGAUUAAUUAAGGGAUUAAUUUUCCUACUUUUAUAUAAGUGAUAAAUCAUUGUACAAUUAGGAGAUACUUUCCUAAUUCUUUAUAGUAUCUAAUUCCUUGUAAAACCCUAAUGUAAACUCCUAUAUAUACCUCCUUAUGGAGAAGAAUAAAAC